rnacentral:rRNA from 1 species
ACGCUCGACACCUACUGGAGGCAGCAGUGGGGGAUAUUGCACAAUGGGGGAAACCCUGAUGCAGCAACGCCGCGUGAAGGAAGAAGGUCUUCGGAUUGUAAACUUCUGUCCUCAGGGAAGAUAAUGACGGUACCUGAGGAGGAAGCUCCGGCUAACUACGUGCCGGCAGCCGCGGUAAGUACUGAGCGGGCGUGGCGAAGGACG